GACGAACGCUGGCGGCGUGCUUUACACAUGCAAGUCGAACGGAAAGGCCCUGCUUUUGUGGGGUGCUCGAGUGGCGAACGGGUGAGUAACACGUGAGUAACCUGCCCUUGACUUUGGGAUAACUUCAGGAAACUGGGGCUAAUACCGGAUAGGAGCUCCUGCUGCAUGGUGGGGGUUGGAAAGUUUCGGCGGUUGGGGAUGGACUCGCGGCUUAUCAGCUUGUUGGUGGGGUAGUGGCUUACCAAGGCUUUGACGGGUAGCCGGCCUGAGAGGGUGACCGGCCACAUUGGGACUGAGAUACGGCCCUGACUCCUACGGGAGGCAGCAGUGGGGAAUAUUGCACAAUGGGCGGAAGCCUGAUGCAGCAACGCCGCGUGCGGGAUGACGGCCUUCGGGUUGUAAACCGCUUUCGCCUGUGACGAAGCGUGAGUGACGGUAAUGGGUAAAGAAGCACCGGCUAACUACGUG
rnacentral:rRNA from 1 species